rnacentral:lncRNA from 7 species
AGGCAGAAAUGCUCUCCAUCAUGUUCCAGUCACAAUGUCUUACACCAGACCCACACACACUAUACAGAGCACAGAUACACAUACAGAGGGGUGUAUGUACAGAACAUGGCAGUGGGGCACAGUGCUGCAUGGAGAACCCUGGCUCGGCUAGGAAGGGCUCAGCACUUAGCAGCAGCCUAAGCUGUUCUCCCCUUGCCCUGCUCAAGUGCUGUUGUUGCCUGUCAGCACGGCAGCUGCUUCCACAGUCCCUCCUGAAUUGUUAUUUUAAAGAAGUCCAAGGCAGCUUUGGUGCUGAUAUCAGGAGCUGCAGAGAUGCAACAGGAAGGCUGCGGGGCUGAACCCAGCCUCUCAUUGCCCAGCAGGCUUUGGCUGCCAAGCACCAGGCAGAACCAGCCACCACAGUGCCAGGAGCCAGGCUGUGUCCUAGGAUGCAAUGUUCCUCAUCUGUGUGUGGGAUCAAGUGAUGGAAUUGAGGACAAUUUGUUUCUCAUGGGCUUGGGGUCACCACGCAGGUGCUGGCACACAGGAUAGCACUACACCUCCAAUUUGGGAUAAAUCUGUUCCAGCCAGGGCAGGCGGGAGUUGUAAUU